ACAUUUACUCUCCUUCUUUGUGAAACCAACACGUUGACGGUUGUUGACACACGGCUGCUGCACACAUUCACACAAUCAACCUCCUCGGGAAUAUUAAUGCAAGUUCACACAACGUUUUGUCAUCUUGAAAGCAGAACUUAUUCCCGUAUAUGCACAUACUUUAAGUUGUGCACAACAGAUGUGUAAUAAAUAUAUGUAAUAUCUUCAUGACACACUUCCUCGUGUCUUAUGGUGCGUUCUAGGCAACUCGUAACUCGUGUUUUCACAACCUUCUGCCCGUGAAAGUGCCCUGGAACGGCAGUCAAACCCGCAACU